GGGCCAAUAGUAAAGUGGUAUUACGCCGCAUUCGCAUUGCGGAGGCGGGAGUCCGAUUCUCCCUUGGUCCACCA
rnacentral:tRNA from 1 species